UACGUAGGGUGCGAGCGUUGUCCGGAAUUAUUGGGCGUAAAGAGCUCGUAGGCGGUUUGUCGCGUCUGCUGUGAAAUCUGGAGGCUCAACCUCCAGCCUGCAGUGGGUACAGGCAGACUAGAGUGCGGUAGGGGAGAUUGGAACUCCUGGUGUAGCGGUGGAAUGCGCAGAUAUCAGGAAGAACACCGAUGGCGAAGGCAGAUCUCUGGGCCGUAACUGACGCUGAGGAGCGAAAGCAUGGGGAGCGAACAGG
rnacentral:rRNA from 1 species